UACGUAGGGGGCAAGCGUUGUCCGGAUUAUUGGGCGUAAAGAGCGUGUAGGCGGCUAUACAGGUCCGCUGUGAAAACUCGAGGCUCAACCUCGAGACGUCGGUGGAAACCGUAUGGCUAGAGUCCGGAAGAGGCGAGUGGAACUCCUGGUGUAGCGGUGGAAUGCGCAGAUAUCAGGAAGAACACCAACGGCGAAGGCAGCUCGCUGGGACGGUACUGACGCUGAGACGCGAAAGCGUGGGGAGCGAACAGG
rnacentral:rRNA from 1 species